AUUGAACGCUGGCGGCAUGCCUUACACAUGCAAGUCGAACGGCAGCGGACCUUCGGGUGCCGGCGAGUGGCGAACGGGUGAGUAAUAUAUCGGAACGUACCUUUCAGUGGGGGAUAACGUAGCGAAAGUUACGCUAAUACCGCAUAUUCUGUGAGCAGGAAAGCNGGGGAUCGCAAGACCUUGCGCUGAUUGAGCGGCCGAUAUCAGAUUAGCUAGUUGGUGAGGUAAAGGCUCACCAAGGCGACGAUCUGUAGCGGGUCUGAGAGGAUGAUCCGCCACACUGGAACUGAGACACGGUCCAGACUCCUACGGGAGGCAGCAGUGGGGAAUUUUGGACAAUGGGCGCAAGCCUGAUCCAGCCAUGCCGCGUGAGUGAAGAAGG
rnacentral:rRNA from 1 species